rnacentral:rRNA from 1 species
CCUACGGGAGGCUGCAGUGGGGAAUAUUGGACAAUGGGGGGAACCCUGAUCCAGCGACGCCGCGUGAGUGAAGAAGUAUUUCGGUAUGUAAAGCUCUAUCAGCAGGGAAGAAAGAAAUGACGGUACCUGACUAAGAAGCCCCGGCUAACUACGUGCCAGCAGCCGCGGUAAUACGUAGGGGGCAAGCGUUAUCCGGAUUUACUGGGUGUAAAGGGAGCGUAGACGGCGAUGCAAGUCUGAAGUGAAAGGCGGGGGCCCAACCCCUGGACUGCUUUGGAAACUGUAUGGCUGGAGUGCAGGAGAGGUAAGUGGAAUUCCUAGUGUAGCGGUGAAAGGCGUAGAGAUUAGGAGGAACACCAGUGGCGAAGGCGGCUUACUGGACUGUAACUGACGUUGAGGCUCGAAAGCGUGGGGAGCAAACAGGAUUAGAUACCCUUGUAGUA